rnacentral:lncRNA from 1 species
GCGGAAUUUGCUGCGAAGAGUAGUGGAGUAGACCCAGAGUAGUGGAGUAGACCCGUGGCUAUUGCUAUGGCCUGCCACGUGGAGCCUGUUGCAGGUAGUGGAGCGGCGUCUGUUGCCGCUGAUUGCCAGGGAGUAGUCGAGUCACGCAGCACCCGCCGCAGGGAGUGGAGCAGAAUCACGGCCGUUAAUACAGCCUGUCAGAGAGUAAUGGGGUUGCGUAGGGUCCGCCGCAGGGAGUGGAGCAAAAUCAUGGCUGUUAAUACAGCCUGUCAGAGAGUAAUGGAGCUGCGCGAAAUCCGCUGCAGGAAGUGGAGCAGAAUCGUGGCCGUGAUUGUGGCCUGGGAGUGCAGAUCUGUCGGCUGAAGUUCGGCAGCGGUCGGAGUCCGGCUCCCGUAGGAGUCCGGACGAAGUCUGCUUGCGAUUGACAUUGUUGGCGGAGUCCGGCUCCCGUAGGAGUCCGGACGAAGUCUGCUCGUAGCUGUUGGAGUUGAGGACGAAGCCCGGCUCCCGUAGGAGUCCGGGCGGAGUCUCC